CCUCACUGUAAAGUGUUGUCCAUUGCUUUGGGAUUUGGCUUAACUCCAUUUGCAACAAUAACAUAAAAAUCAGAUAAUGAAGUAAAGCAGGGCACAUCAUGAAGACACAGAUACUACUUGCUGUAGUAUUGUGCUGUGCUUGUGUGGGGUUGUAGUGGUGCCAAUUGUUCUGAAUUUUCAAUUACAUGUUUUUUCUACUCCAAGGCUGUUAGUGCUAGUUAAAUGUGUUGUGUAACACAGCUCCAAAACCAAUAGAAGCGUGGAGUAUCUGAAAAGUGCACGUUAUUCCAUAAAUGAGUGCUACAAGAGCUCGUUGUGUUAUCCUUUAGGAGCAGUGCUUUGUCAAUAAUGUUGUUAGCAGUUACAGAGCCAAACCACAGUCCCGUGUGCAGUGGUGCAAGAGGAGAAGGAGUUAUGGCUAAUGUGUCACACAGCAGGUGGGAAACAAGCCCUGCAGAGGUGGGUAAAAGGGACUGAGCACUGAACACAUCCUUGGAUUUGCUCCCCAGCACACCAGUAAAUCCAGCUGAGCUGGAAUCCUAGGAAACUCUUGCAUCUGCACAAGAAAGCACCAACUUCUUCCACUGUGCAGGAGGAUGCUGACAACUCAAUUUUGGUCACUUGCUGCCAAGCUCAACUUGCAACAGUCAACUCACGUCAGACUGGAGGGGGAUUUUUUAUGUUCAGCUUGCCACUUGCAAACCCUGUCUGUUGAUCCUCUAAUACAUGUGGAUAUGUGAAUCUGCAAGGUAAUACUUUAGUAUUCACUACUGUUUAGCCACUGCAAUUGGUAAUUUUUUUUACAAAUACAUAAUAAAUGAAUGGAAGUUUUAAUCCUGUUUUUUGAGUGGAAAAGGAGAGCUGGACUUAUAACUAAAACAUUAUUAAGAACAAGAGAAAAUAUGAUGCAGAAAUGUUCCAGAAGGUAACUUUUCUUCACUGUGAUAGUUUAUUUUCAAAGUAGUACUGGCAUGAGCCCAAAUCUCAUUCUGCUUUGAGCAGAUAAUACCUUCUUCACAGAUACAUAUUUUUAAAAUACACAGUUAAUCAGAAAAAUACCUGGCACUGAUUCCAUUCCCUUUUUGACCUGUUAAACCGUGAUGUUGUUUAUACAAAUUCUUUCAAAUACUUUAUGUAGUAGAACAGUACAUUUAGAGGCAAGGAGUUGGUAAAAUAUUCUUCUGGGAAGGACCAAAACAUUCCCUUUGCUAGUGUUUGAAGUACCUUUUGCUAUCUGACAGGAGCGAGAGGUGACAACUAACACACAGUCCUUGGGAAUAUGGUUAGCAAGCCAGAACAGUAGGCAGGCUCACCUUCUGCUUGUAUUCUGUCAAGUGCUGUGCCCUGCUGUUUGCAUAAGGGGAACAGCUUUUAUUAUUCUUCUCUGUCUCUGCUACUGUGCACCAGGGCAGCACAAAGCAAGAUUUAGUGCUUGGAUAUAGUAUUUGCUUGAUAGCAAUUGUUAUAGUUAAGGCUGCACUGAGACUUCUGUCUUAACCUGCUGUUCUCCCAUGCUCAGAAUAUUCUUUUUUUUUUUUUUAAUCCCUUUCAUGUGAAAUUUUUCAUGCUUGUUAUCAGCUGAAAUAUGAUUUUUUUUUUUUUUUUGGCAAGCUUGAAUAAAAUU